UACGUAGGAGGCGAGCGUUGUCCGGAAUUACUGGGUGUAAAGCGCGUGUAGGCGGUGAGUUAAGUCUGUUGUGAAAGCGCCCGGCUCAACCGGGCAGAGUCAAUGGAAACUAGCGCACUGGAGGUCGGUAGAGGCGAGUGGAAUUUCCGGUGGAGCGGUGAAAUGCGUAGAGAUCGGAAAGAACACCAACGGCGAAAGCACUCUGCUGGGCCGACACUGACACUGAGAGACGAAAGCUAGGGGAGCGAAUGGG
rnacentral:rRNA from 1 species